UGGGGCAUGAUGCAGAACCAGAAAUCUGAUUUUUCUAAAUGAAGGUUAUCGUAUUCAUACUGUCUGACCCCG